UAAUUAUAUUUUUUGUAGGUAAUCCAGUGUCAGCAGCUGUCCCUCUUGCAUCAUGGAUAUGCUUAAUACUGGGAGUCAUAGUGUCCUCAGUAAUACUCUUCAAGCCAAUAUGGUGGGACAGAUGCCUAAAGAGGUUAAAGAAAAGUGGCUGUUGUAACAGAUGAAAUCUUAUGUUUACAAGAAUGCAGAACUUUAUCUAAAAUAUAUCACAUUAAUGUAAUAUUGUUUAUUAUGAAUUGAACAGUAUCAAUUGUCUUUGAACCUCAAGUAUUAGAUUUAUUUCAUCAAAAAUUCUGAUACACAUUGAUGCCGUCAUGUUAUCUAUAAAAUUUGAGUCAAUUAACUUUUUAAAAAUAAA